rnacentral:rRNA from 1 species
UACGGGGGGAGCAAGCGUUGUUCGGAUUUACUGGGCGUAAAGGGCGCGUAGGCGGCCAGCGCAAGUCAGUUGUGAAAUCUCCGGGCUUAACUCGGAAAGGUCGACUGAUACUGCGCGGCUAGAGUGCAGAAGGGGCAACUGGAAUUCUCGGUGUAGCGGUGAAAUGCGUAGAUAUCGAGAGGAACACCUGCGGCGAAGGCGGGUUGCUGGGCUGACACUGACGCUGAUGCGCGAAAGCCAGGGGAGCGAACGGG